rnacentral:misc_RNA from 1 species
GAACGCACAUUGCGCCCGCCAGUAUUCUGGCGGGCAUGCCUGUCUGAGCGUCAGUUCAACCCUCACAACCGGCUUUCUUUGCUGGAUGUGGUGUUGGGGAUCGGCUGCCUUUCUUCUAGGUGGCCGGCCCCGAAAUAGAGUGGCGGUCUCGUCGUGGCCUCCUCUGCGUAGUAGCAAUAUCUCGCAGGCGGAGAGCGGCGUGGCUAUGCCGUAAAACACCCAACUCUUCUAAGGUUGACCUCAGAUCAGGUAGGAAUACCCGCUGAACUUAAG